CCUACGGGAGGCAGCAGCAGGGAAUCUUCGGCAAUGGACGAAAGUCUGACCGAGCAACGCCGCGUGAGUGAAGAAGGUUUUCGGAUCGUAAAACUCUGUUGUUAGAGAAGAACGUUGUGUAGAGUGGAAAAUUACACAAGUGACGGUAUCUAACCAGAAAGGGACGGCUAACUACGUGCCAGCAGCCGCGGUAAU
rnacentral:rRNA from 1 species